UGCCACCGCCCUCCCCCGAGCCCACCGCCUGCCCAAAUCCCCCCACACCGCUGCGCGCGCUUCCUUGUCUUCCUCGUCAUCCCGUUCGCCAUGUUCUACUACGAGGGCGGCCAGGACAAGUCGGUCGGGAAGAAGCUCAAGAGCGCCCUCAUGGCCUCAUCUGGCUGGGUCGUCCCACUCACUUCUGUUUUGUUUUGUGUAAUGACUAAUGACACCAUACUACAGUGAGGAAACUGUAAUUCAAGAAAUGACCUUGAUCUGGAGAAUGAGGAUUGUGUAUCAGUUAUAUUCUACCGGCAGAAGAUCUUUCUAGGUUCUUUUCCCGUUUGUUCUUCAACUUUGUUGAUCCUAAUUUAUGAUGUUCACCGAGGAUUAUAGAUAACUUUGCUCAGUCGUGGAUCAUGGUACCUUUACCUGUUGUCGACAUUUCCUCUUUCAGAUUUGAUGUUAGCUUGUACAAGCUGCUGGGUUGUGCUUAGAUGUUAUGGUUUCUCUGCUAUUUAGAAAGUACACUUAACACUCAUAAAGUACACUGAUCCUAACUUGAAAUAUUUAAUCCGGCAGGUUUAAAGUUUGUUGUAGGAAGGGCACACAAGUUUGAUGUUUGCAGUUCCAGAUUUUUGCCAAAGGCCGCUGAAACGAAGUUUAGUUCAGCAGACCAUAUAUGUUGGAAAAAAGCAAAUUUCUUGCCUUCCGAAUCCUCCGAAGCAUCAUAUUUUAUUUCAGGCCGAUUUGUCCCAGCUCAGUGUAUCUCUGGUAAAAUACGAACAUCAUUGUUUUUACUUUUUUAGGGGAUGCCACAAAAGGAAAAAUGACCAAGACUGCAUCUGUCAUGUUUUUUUGCUAGAUUGUUAAUUUCAAUUCAUGUUUGAUAUUGCAGUAUGGAGGUUUUGCCAAAUACAUGUUCUAUUGUCGUUUAUUUUCCACUAUUGUUGGGCCUCGUUUCUUUAUUUGCAUCCUCGGAUGUGUAAUGUUAUAUUGGUCAUGAUCCAGACAUUUCCAUCGACCAAUUAUAUAUUGUUAGCUUAUUGUAUUGCUGAAAUUACACUAGCCUAUGUAUUAUGGAGGAACCGUGCUAAACUGCUAAUGUAGCUGCAACAGCUUGAUAUAUGUUCUGCUACCAUAGAUGUCACUUCCCUCCUAAGUAUGUGUAUAGUUCUCAUCAAUAGAUGUUUUCUUUGCUGCCUGCUGUUUUCCGUAGUCUUAAGAAUGAUAUUUACCUGACUAAAAAGCCAAUAGCUCAUAAUAUUGAUAAUUCCAGUCGCUUGGUUGAUUAUCAUUGUACAAUAUAAUUCAGAGAAUACUAUUGUGUUUGUUUAUUCAGAGAAAACGCUUGAUAGGUGGGGAUUCGGAAGAAGCAACUGAUAGAUAGGGCGAGCCUUGUUGUGGGUCUCAGUUUUCCGUUUUUUGGGUUUGCACGUGAACCCUGCAUCUCGUAGUUCCUGUUUAAGUCCCAUGUUUGUGUACAUCCAAUUUAUAUUAGGGGUCCAUUGCAUUGUGUAAUACUGUUCGCUUUACACUUCUUUCUGAAUUGGUAUACCUGUUAAUGUGAGUCCCUCUUGUGCUAUUUUGCCGUUGAUUUGGUCUUACCAGGAAUUGUUUGACUCUUAGAUUUUUUCACCGUUUGAUCUCCUACUUUUUUAUGGGGUUUCUUCCCUUCGAUUCUGCCUCUAUUUUGGAUUUUUCCUUUCUCUAUUUUGGAUGCUUCCUUGGUGUUCUUUUCUUGGAUUUAGUUUCCCCUCUUCCUCUUGAGUUAAAAAUCAUGCAUACAUCGUAACAAAAAAAAGAGUUGCAGGCUUUUGGAAUUUAAAUAGUAACGAUGAAAAGAUGGUGUGAUGUAUUUGGAACCGUGGCAGGUGGAAUUUUGCUUCGGUGGUGUGAAUCUAGCUACAACUGACCAUCUGUUGAAGUUUAAUACUAAAGAUUCAGAUGGAUUUGUUAGAGGCAUGCUGUAUUAUAGGAAAUCUUUGAAGCUUCAAGCAUUCCUAGACAUGGCUUCUUAAUCUGGUGCCUCCAAGAAAAGUGCACGCACUCAUUUACUCAAGCGCUCUAAUUUCAUAUUAUGCCUCGCCGAUUUUCCUGUCAAGUGCACCCAACUGUCACUGACCCUGCCUUAAUUCCAAUGCUCAUUACUUACAUUUUACAUCUCAUUUACUCUAAAUUUCUUGUUCUUAUUCGGUUACUUUGUACAUAUAAUUGCAGAUCAUUUCAGUGCUCAGAGACUUGCAACUCAGGACACUAUAGUGCUCUGUCUUCAUGUGCACUCUAUUUUGUGCAUGUGCAUUUCAUACCAUAGACAUCGAUGACUUCAUGUGUUUAUGUUAUAUUAUUUAGUUUUUGGCAUACACCAAUGUACCAGCUUCCUUCUGUUUCACUUAUUCAUUACACUUCGCACUUAGCUAAGCAUGUUACUUUAAAUCCGAUACAAUAACAUUACAUAGUAUAUACAGGAAAGGGAAAGGGGCGCCUCCCACCUAGCACCGCUCAACUUUCUCUCAAGCGGCGCCACGCCCCAACCGCUAGUCAAAUUCACGCGCCGGCUGAAGAGUAAAGACCAGCGCGGCUACUGCUUGGUAUACAGGCUGACCAUUUGGUGCUCCGCCCAAAAGCCCGAUAGCAGUUGAAGAUUGACAAGCUUCGUUUGUUCGUGGGGCGGCGCGGCAGAUUUAAGGCCAACUCCACCGCAGGACCCUAAAUCUAUACACAGACGGACGACGAGGACGCGAAGACGUCCGCUUUCUGUCCGCUUUGGCCCCAAACCGAGAGCAACUUUGGUCUGGAAAUGGGGCAAAAGCGGACAGGGGCCGGACAAAAUGUCCGUAUGCUCCCAUGCGCUGGGUUGUUUGAUUUGUCCAUUUUACCCCCAAACAGACACAAACGGACGAUUUAGGAUAGAAAUGAGUCACGCGGUGGAGUUGGCCUAACAUUCA